GGUACAUCGGUGACAGGUGGUGGCAUGGUUGUCGUCAGCUCGUGUCGUGAGAUGUUGGUUAAGUCCCGCAACGAGCGCAACCCCUAUUGUUAGUUGCCAUCAUUCAGUUGGGCACUCUAGCGAGACUGCCGGUAAUAAACCGGAGGAAGGUGGGGAUGACGUCAAAUCAUCAUGCCCCUUAUGACCUGGGCUACACACGUGCUACAAUGGUUGGUACAACGAGUUGCGAGUCGGUGACGGCGAGCUAAUCUCUUAAAGCCAAUCUCAGUUCGGAUUGUAGGCUGCAACUCGCCUACAUGAAGUCGGAAUCGCUAGUAAUCGCGGAUCAGCACGCCGCGGUGGAUACGUUCCCGGGCCUU
rnacentral:rRNA from 1 species